rnacentral:rRNA from 1 species
GGAUUAGAUACCCUGGUAGUCCACGCCGUAAACGAUGAGGGCUAGUUGUCAGGCAGCAUGCUGUUUGGUGACGCAGCUAACGCAUUAAGCCCUCCGCCUGGGGAGUACGGUCGCAAGAUUAAAACUCAAAGGAAUUGACGGGGGCUCACACAAGCGGUGGAGCAUGUGGUUUAAUUCGAUACAACGCGAAGAACCUUACCAAGGCUAGACAUCUAUCCUAACCCACGCGAAAGCGAGGGGUGCUUCGGCCGGAUAGUGCAGGUGUUGCAUGGCUGUCGUCAGCUCGUGUUG